UGGGGAAUUUUGGACAAUGGGCGCAAGCCUGAUCCAGCCAUGCCGCGUGUCUGAAGAAGGCCUUCGGGUUGUAAAGGACUUUUGUCAGGGAAGAAAAGGCUGUUGCUAAUACCGACAGCUGAUGACGGUACCUGAAGAAUAAGCACCGGCUAACUACGUGCCAGCAGCCGCGGUAAUACGUAGGGUGCGAGCGUUAAUCGGAAUUACUGGGCGUAAAGCGAGUGCAGACGGUUACUUAAGCAGGAUGUGAAAUCCCCGGGCUCAACCUGGGAACUGCGUUCUGAACUGGGUGACUAGAGUGUGUCAGAGGGAGGUAGAAUUCCACGUGUAGCAGUGAAAUGCGUAGAGAUGUGGAGGAAUACCGAUGGCGAAGGCAGCCUCCUGGGAUAACACUGACGUUCAUGCUCGAAAGCGUGGGUAGCAAACAGGAUUAGAUACCCUGGUAGUCCACGCCCUAAACGAUGUCAAUUAGCUGUUGGGCAACUUGAUUGCUUAGUAGCGUAGCUAACGCGUGAAAUUGACCGCCUGGGGAGUACGGUCGCAAGAUUA
rnacentral:rRNA from 1 species